rnacentral:lncRNA from 1 species
CUUGAAGAAAGAAAUGGAGCCAAAGGAGGAGUUGGGUUGAGUUUGGGUCUUGAGCAAGAAUAGGGACAAGAUCUUAAGAGAUUGUCUAUCAAGGCUUCAUGAAGGUUUAGAGAAGUCUAGAAGUGUCAUGAAGGCUGUGCAAAGAUAGGGUUUGAGUCCAGGAGGGACUUAGACACCAUUUGGAGACAGAUGGGUGAUGGUGCAAAGAUAGGGCGACCAGAUGAUCAGACGGUACGGACGGUACAAAACUGGACGGGCCGGGCAAUCUUAGGGCGACCCAAACCGAGUCAGGUCUAACCAUUGGAGAUGUUUGGGUGAGAUGUGCAAAAAUAGGGCGAGGUACGGACAGGCGGUACGUACCAUCAACCGUACUUCACCCAGGAUCGACCAGAAGUUGUGCAAACUUAGGGCGUCGGUUUAGAGAGCGAUUAGGCGACCUUGUCUGAUUGUAAUCAGACUGUUUGUGGAUAAGGAAGAGAGAGGACGUGGUCAACAAGGACAGGCUGUCAAGAGGUGUAAAAGGAAAGCAAAGGGGACCAUGUAUCUAGCUAAAGAAGUGGGAAGGUUCAUGGGAGCCUUUGAGGAACCAAUCAGAAGCCUGCCCUUGCCUUGACCAGUUUGAAUGGACCAAUCACCAGCCAGCCUUCCUUAACCAAUCAGAAGCCAUCACCAAGAUUGCAAAGACCAAAACAAGACUACAUCCAAGCCAUCCAUUUCACAAGUCAUUUCUAGCCAUUAGAUUAAGGGUUUCUAAUGUUUCAAAGUGUAAAGCUUAUAAAAGCAUGUGUAUGGACGAAAAUUAAAGCUCUUAAGAGAGUAUGGGGGAUUUCCCCAUCUCCUUCAUAUUAUAAAGUAUGUUCUUGAUCAGAUUCUCUUAAUCUCUCCCUUUCUUAGUCUCUAAUCUCUUAAUCUCUCAAAGUCUCUUUGUUUCUGAUCUAAGUUCAUACUAGUUCAUCAGAUUCUUUCUUCACCAUUUCAAGACUCUAUUCUGCCCUAAGAGGCUUGUUCUUCACACACACAUCCUAGACUCUUAAAUCUCAUAUGGUAUCAGAGCCAGGUUCAUUAGAACUUGGUUCAAGCUUCCGCUAAGCUCAAGGCUUCUCCCAUGUCAUUUCCAAACCAAGAAGAAGCUUCAUGUUCAGCCUGCUGUAAAACCUCUCCAAGAAGAAGGUGGGCUCAUACAUGGCGUCCAGUAGCUGUCUCUGGUUGUUCUCCACGUUCUCAUGUCCACCCUUGAAGAAAGAAGGCCUUGGAAGCAAAGGUUAUGAAGUGGUCUAGCUAGCCUCUUCAACAAACCAGAUCCAGGCGAGUCUCAUGGUGAUUCUCAUGAAGAAAGGUGGUCUCUUUGACAUGGUGGGUUCAAGAGGAAGGUCCAUGGAAGCAGGAGAUGUUGGGGUCGACACCAACAGCUCAGAUCUUGCCAUGUACUAAGGAGUUUCAAGGAACUAACACUAGUUCCUUGGCUGUAAGGAAAUCUCUUUCUCUUGUAUAAAGCUUGAGUAUUUGAACUGAAAAUUAUAUUAAACUGAUUGUGAUGUGGUGUUGUGAUUGAAAACUUGAGGAUAUAUUAAAGAUUGCUAAAUAAAAUGAAAUGAAUUUAGAAUCUGUCCCAUAAUGCUUAAAAAGUCUUGUUUGGUGGUUGAAAAGUUUAAAAAUGCUUAACCCUGAUUCUAGUGAGGCUUGUUAGGGAGUUAGAAGUUGUCUAAACCUGAUUGCUUUCAUGAAAUGAGAUCACCUAAGGUUAUGCAUUGGGUCUGAUAUUGGUUGUUGAUAGUAGUGCUUAACUAAGGUUCAUAGUGAUGCUUGUUGUGAUUGCUUAAAUCUGCUUGCAUACAUGGAUUGAAACCGUUUUAAAGUUAUUGCAUACUGUCUUGUGGCUGUCUUACAUUGAAGCAUUAGAUUCAUGUCUAAAUUGCUGAGUAAAGAAGCUUUAAAAAUUGCCUAAGUAGCUUGUAUUGAAUCUGUUAAGAUCAUGCUUGUGCUUAGAGAGUUUGCUUGCAAAGAUUAGAACUUGAAAAUGACUUGUUUAAUCUGUUGCAAUGCUUGUGAUAUUGGGAAUCAAACUUGAUGAUUAAUCAAGGAUUGAUCCCAAUACUAUUGUGUCUUAUCUUUGCUGGAGUUUGAGUGAUGUUUCAGGUUCACAAGAAGUGUUCUUUGCUCACCAUCCAUCCGAGUAUAAGAGGAAGACUUGUUGCCCAUUGUGUGUGCAAUGGAGAGUGGUUACUAGUGUGAUAUGGCGCCACUGGUGUGAAGUCUCACUGAAGCUCACUUCAAGCUUGAACCUAGAUUAGGCCAAGCUUGAGGAGGGGAGUUGAGUGAGCUUCCUAGGCAAUCCAAGAAGUCCAUUGCAAGCACCUGAAGAAGGAGCCAUCCGGGUUUAGGCUGUGGCGAGUCUAUUCAAGAGAGUACUCAAACUAAGACAGAGUACUCUUGGCUGUGAGAAGAUUAAGGCUACUCUAUCAAGGCGGCUUCUAGUGUGAGGUGGUUGAAGAGAUAGCUGAGGCUUCCACAAGCAUUCCAUUCAAGAUGGCGAGUUCAAGAAGAGGCUGCAAUGGUGUGUGUGUGUUGAUCAUGAAGCCAUCCGUUCAAGCUUGUUCCUGUGAGAGUCUCAAGCUUGAGGGGGAGUGUUGAAGCUUACAUGAUCAGAAUGAGCUUGGUGGUUAUUCUAGAAGAGGAAGCAACCUGUUGGGAAGUAUGAUGAAGGAUGAAGAAGCAAUGUCCAAGGCGGCUUCAAGUGUUGAGGUGAUUGGAGAGUGGCUGAAACAUCCUCAUGUAGUUCCAGCAACAAGGUGGCGACUCUAGAAGAAGAAGAAGCAGCCAAGACUCAGCAAGAGUGUUGUAUCUCCAAGAAGAGGCUGAUAUGGUGUGUCCGAGCACUUCAACCUAACAAGAGAUUAGGUGAAAGGGGGAGAGACCAAGAUCAGGCAGUAAGGAGAGUACAAGGCGUGGGGAGAAUGAAGAGGCCAUGAUCCAGAGUCUUUGUGUCCCUUACAUUGUUGGUAAGGCACAAAGACUCACUGGCCAAUCCCUAGGCCAUGGAGACUUUACUCUUUUUCCCUCAUCAAGGUUUUGUCCCAAAGGGUUUUCCUUGGUGAGGUUUUUAAUGAGGAAGUUCUUCAAGGUUCCAAGCUUGACUUAGGAUCAGCUAAAGUCAAGCUUGAGGGGGAGUGUUGACUUGAAGAAAGAAAUGGAGACAAAGGAGGAGUUGGGUUGAGUUUGGGUCUUGAGCAAGAAUAGGGACAAGAUCUUAAGAGAUUGUCUAUCAAGGCUUCAUGAAGGUUUAGAGAAGUCUAGAAGUGUCAUGAAGGCUGUGCAAAGAUAGGGUUUGAGUCCAGGAGGGACUUAGACACCAUUUGGAGAUAGUUGGGUGAUGGUGCAAAGAUAGGGCGUCUCGAGGUUCAGACGGUACUGACGGUACGGACAAACCGUGCAAACUUAGGGCGACCCAGAACCUGAUCACACUCAACCAUUGGAGAUGUUUGGGUGAGAUGUGCAAACUUAGGGCGCGGUACGGACAGGCGGUCCGUACCAUCAACCGUACUUCACCCAGGAUCGACCAGAAGUUGUGCAAACUUAGGGCGUCGGUUUAGAGAGCGAUUAGGCGACCUUGUCUGAUUGUAAUCAGACUGUUUGUGGAUAAGGAAGAGAGAGGACGUGGUCAACAAGGACAGGCUGUCAAGAGGUGUAAAGGGAAAGCAAAGGGGACCAUGUAUCUAGCUAAAGAAGUGGGAAGGUUCAUGGGAGCCUUUGAGGAACCAAUCAGAAGCCAGCCCUUGCCUUGACCAGUUUGAAUGGACCAAUCACCAGCCAGCCUUCCUUAACCAAUCAGAAGCCAUCACCAAGAUUGCAAAGACCAAAACAAGACUACAUCCAAGCCAUCCAUUUCACAAGUCAUUUCUAGCCAUUAGAUUAAGGGUUUCUAAUGUUUCAAAGUGUAAAGCUUAUAAAAGCAUGUGUAUGGACGAAAAUUAAAGCUCUUAAGAGAGUAUGGGGGUUUUCCCAUCUCCUUCAUAAUUAUAAAAGUGUGUUCUUGAUCAGAUUCCCUUAAUCUCUCCCUUUCUUAGUCUCUAAUCUCUUAAUCUCUCAAAGUCUCUUUGUUUAUGAUCUAAGUUCAUACUAGUUUCAUCAGAUUCUUUCUUCACCAUUUCAAGACUCUAUUCUGCCCUAAGAGGCUUGUUCUUCACACACACAUCCUAGACUCUUAAAUCUCAUAUGGAGGAGAGCUAGUUGAUAUCUGAUUGGUUUAUUCAAAUUGGUCAUAGGGAAGGCUGUUCUCCCAUUGGCUCCUUAUAGGCUCCCAUGUAUCCAGCCCUUAAUCAGAUCAGGUUCAUGGUAAAGGCUGUCUUUCACUUUACAGCUACAGCCAGCCUGUCCAUACUCCAAAGUAGCCAAUCAGCUCCAUCUCAGCUCUCAUUGGCCGCUUGCCUUCACAAGGGAUCUCCUUGAUUCCCUUUUGAUGCUCCACGACCAGACUCCUUUUACUCAGCCCUAAGUGUGCACAAAGCCUCCAUGACAUGUUCUGAUCACGCCCUAACUUUGCACAUCUUGUCCCGGACUUUGCACAAUCUCAAAACAUCUCAAAUGGCCAAGUUGUGUAUCCUCGGGUUGUCUCGGUCCGUACGGAUCCGUACAGGUCCGUACCAUCCGUACUGCCUCGCCCUAAGUAUGCACACUUGCCCAUUUGCUCCCAAACACUCUUCUAAGUCCCUCCUGGACUUGGCCCUAUCUUUGCACAGCCAUAUGAGCACUUCUGGACACCUUCAAACACUCCUAAAGUAUUCAUAGAUAAUCUCCGGAGGUCUUGCCCUAUUCUUGCUCAAGACUCAAUCUCAACUCAACACUUCACCACUCCAUUUCUUUUCUUCAAGUCAACACUCUCCAUCUGAACCAUCCAUUUAAACUUCAAGUAUUAUCAGCCAUUAGAUUUAGGUUUAUGAUUUGCAUCUUGUAAGAGCUUAUAUAAGCUUAGUAAUGGCGAUUUGUAAAGGUUAAGGGAGUAAGGGGGAUUUCCCCUCUCCACUUCAUGGAAAUAAGAAGUUGUGUUCUUGAAUCAGAUUCUCUUUAAUCUCUCCCUUUCUUAGUCUUUAAUCUCCUAAUCUCUCAAAGUCUUUUGUUUCUGAUUUAAGUAAACACUCUCAUCAAUCUCUCUUUCUAAAUCACCUAGAGCAAGCUCUCAUCUUUCUCCAUUGGAGUUUAUACACACACAAACACAACUAGAGAAGAGAACUCUAUAAAUCUCACAUGGUAUCAGAGCCAGGUUCAUCAGAACCUGAGCUGUAGCUUCCGCAAAUCACUUGCUCUCACCUCAGCUCAAUCCAAACCCUUGAAGCCUUUCCCAUCCGAGUUCAGUUUCUCCAUGAAGUAGAAGACUGAAGCUGGCGUGGCUCUUAUCCUUUCUCCUGUCCAUACUGAUGGAGAGACUCAUUGGAAGCAGAGGUGUAUGGAGAGGCCUCGCGAACCUCAUCCUAGGUGCCUUGUCCAAGAGCUUUCCCAUCCGGUUCAUCAAGCAAGCUGCCAAGAAGGUGGCGCCUAGAAGAGAAGGAGAAAGGAGGGGUCUUUGAGUUAGAGAAACAAGGAGGAAGUCAUGAACUGAAGGAGAAGGAGAGAGGUGACGACCUAGACUCUCAUAUCCACAAAGUCAUGAGCUUACCAUCCGAGAGUGAUAGAAGGACCAACCUGGUUCCUUGGCAGUAAGCGAUUCUUUAAACCUUAAGUGAUAAUGAGCUUGUGAUAAAAUCUGGUUGUUGUGUUGUGAUGUGAUUGAAAACCUGAGGAUUGUUUAAAGAUUGCUAAAUGAAUUUAGAAUCUAUCCCAGGAUGCUUAAAGAGACUUGUUUGGUGAUUGAGAUUGAUUUUAAAAUGCUUAGCUCCGGUUCAUUGUAGUGCUUGUUGUGAUUGAUUGAAUCUGCUUGCAUACAUGGAUUGAAACUGAAUUUAAAGCUGUUGCAUAUAGNNNNNNNNNNNNNNNNNNNNNNNNNNNNNNNNNNNNNNNNNNNNNNNNNNNNNNNNNNNNNNNNNNNNNNNNNNNNNNNNNNNNNNNNNNNNNNNNNNNNNNNNNNNNNNNNNNNNNNNNNNNNNNNNNNNNNNNNNNNNNNNNNNNNNNNNNNNNNNNNNNNNNNNNNNNNNNNNNNNNNNNNNNNNNNNNNNNNNNNNNNNNNNNNNNNNNNNNNNNNNNNNNNNNNNNNNNNNNNNNNNNNNNNNNNNNNNNNNNNNNNNNNNNNNNNNNNNNNNNNNNNNNNNNNNNNNNNNNNNNNNNNNNNNNNNNNNNNNNNNNNNNNNNNNNNNNNNNNNNNNNNNNNNNNNNNNNNNNNNNNNNNNNNNNNNNNNNNNNNNNNNNNNNNNNNNNNNNNNNNNNNNNNNNNNNNNNNNNNNNNNNNNNNNNNNNNNNNNNNNNNNNNNNNNNNNNNNNNNNNNNNNNNNNNNNNNNNNNNNNNNNNNNNNNNNNNNNNNNNNNNNNNNNNNNNNNNNNNNNNNNNNNNNNNNNNNNNNNNNNNNNNNNNNNNNNNNNNNNNNNNNNNNNNNNNNNNNNNNNNNNNNNNNNNNNNNNNNNNNNNNNNNNNNNNNNNNNNNNNNNNNNNNNNNNNNNNNNNNNNNNNNNNNNNNNNNNNNNNNNNNNNNNNNNNNNNNNNNNNNNNNNNNNNNNNNNNNNNNNNNNNNNNNNNNNNNNNNNNNNNNNNNNNNNNNNNNNNNNNNNNNNNNNNNNNNNNNNNNNNNNNNNNNNNNNNNNNNNNNNNNNNNNNNNNNNNNNNNNNNNNNNNNNNNNNNNNNNNNNNNNNNNNNNNNNNNNNNNNNNNNNNNNNNNNNNNNNNNNNNNNNNNNNNNNNNNNNNNNNNNNNNNNNNNNNNNNNNNNNNNNNUUCGUCAUUCUAAUCAAACCAGGAUGAAUCGCGAUGUAAGAACCUUCAUUUGGAUACAUAAAGUAGUGUAGAAUCACCAGGAAGUUGAAUAAAUCUCAUAGGAGUUAGGAUGAAGAAGUUAUCCCACUUUCAAAUAAGGUUAUCCCAGUUUCCCUGUUUGAGAAUAUGACAACUUCUUCGUCAUUCUAAUCAAACCAGGAUGAAUCGUGAUAUACAAAGCUUGAUUUGGAUACAUAAAGUAGUGGAGAAUCAUCAGGAAGUUGAAUAAAUCUUAUAGGAGUUAGGAUGGAGAAGUUAUCCCACUUUCAAAUAAGGUGAUCCCAGUUUCCUUGUUUGGGAAUAUGACAACUUCUUCGUCAUUCUAAUCAAACCAGGAUGAAUCGUGAUAUACAAAGCUUGAUUUGGAUACAUAAAGUAGUGGAGAAUCAUCAGGAAGUUGAAUAAAUCUUAUAGGAGUUAGGAUGAAGAAGUUAUCCCACUUUCAAAUAAGGUGAUCCCAGUUUCCUUGUUUGGGAAUAUGACAACUUCUUCGUCAUUCUAAUCAAACCAGGAUGAAUCGCGAUGUACAAAGCUUGAUUUGGAUACAUAAAGUAGUGGAGAAUCACCAGGAAGUUGAAUAAAUCUCGUAGGAGUUAGGAUGAAGAAGUUAUCCCACUUUUAAAUAAGGUGAUCCCAGUUUCCCUGUUUGGGAAUAUUAUUGUUGAGAUGAAGAGUGUCAAGUGAAGAAUAGAGAUGAGGGUUGAGUAGAAUGAAGAAUAGGAAGGAUAGGAAGGUUUGGGAGCUUUGGGAUCAGCCUGUCCGUACAAGGCCGUACAUGGCCGUACAUGACAGGACAGGCCGUACAAGAUAGGAUCGACCAAAGCUCAACCAACCCUCACCAUAAGUUAUCCGAGUUACUUAAGUAAAGAGGAGAAGUUACCUUGGCCUUUGUGGGUGGAUCAGACCGUUGGAAAGGAUAAGGGAGAGUCUUGGAUAGGCUGGCACAGCUGGACACGGAAAAGCGAAAGGUAUGAGCCAGCUAAUGAAGGCUCACACGCGCGGCUCACCUCAUUGGACAAGUUUGAAAUGGCCAUUGACUCCACAUGCUUACCUUAUCCUCUUAGCUACGAAAACCCUAGUCUCUUCUCUUAUAAAGUUGUAAACACUCUCAUUAAUACAAUCAAGCAAGUUAUGAGUCUCUCUUAGUCUUUCUAAAACUCUCUCUAGACUCCAAAUCUUAUUUCAGACUUUAAUCUUUUCUAAACUCAUUUUAAUCUUCUCUAAACACUCAGAUUACUCUUAACAUCACUAAAACUAUCAUGGUAUCAGAGCCAGGUUAGUGAGAGCCUGAGGUCGUGUGAGAUUCUUUGAAGUUACAAGUUUGAAACUUUGAAGAAACUCUUGUGUGUUCUUAUGUGUUUGAGAGGUUCUGGGUACUUUUCAAGUUCAAGACUAGUUGUGGUGUGUUGUCUGAAGCUGCGUGGGUUGAAGAUCGAGGCUGUGAAGGUUUCUACAAGUCAUUCAACUCAAGAUAGAGUUCCUGAAGCUUAGAGAGUUCAUCAUUCAACAUGGAGAGUGGGAUGAACAUGAACAUGAAGGUAGCCGUGUGUUUCAAGGGAAACAACUACUUGGUAUGGUCAAGGAUGGUGAGAACCACGGUGGGAAGCAAGGGGUUGUGGAAGCAUAUCAACCCCGGAGAAGCUCCAAAACUCAUCACUCAAGUAGAGGAUGAUGGUGAGGCUGCAAGCAACGCGGCUGAGAAGUGGUAUCAAGAGGACAUGCUGGUGAUGUCAGUGCUUCACGCAUCCCUUGAGCCAGCAAUCUUAGAUGCUUACAGCUACUGUGAGUCUGCUAAGGAACUGUGGGACACACUGAAGAAGGUGUAUGGGAAUACAUCAAACUUGAGCAGGGUGUUUGAGGUGAAGCAAGCGAUUAACAACCUGGUACAAGAGGAUAUGGAGUUCACUAAACACCUUGGGAGAUUCAGAUCACUAUGGUCCGAGAUGGAGAUGUUAAGGCCAAGCACUACAGAUGCAGAUGAGCUCAACAAGAGAAGAGAGCAAGACAAGGUCUUUGGCCUACUUCUCACCCUCAACCCGGCGUAUAAUGGUCUCAUCCAGCACCUGCUUAGAGAAGACACUCUACCUGACCUUGAGGAUGUGUGUGCGCGGAUUCAGAAGGAGCAAGGCUCCAUUGGGUUGUUUGCCAAGAAAGGAGACCUUUCCCUUGCAAGCCAAGCGACUCAAGAGGAAGGGAAUGAAGCUACACAAGCAAAUAAGGCUGCUGCGCAUGGGAAGUAUGAGGAGAGGAGGUUCAAUGGGAACUGUGAUCACUGCAAGAAGCAUGGCCACAAGAAGAGUCAAUGCUGGAUCCUUCACCCACACCUCAAACCGGCAAAGUUCAUGAAGGACCGUGAGGCAAGGGCUAAUGUAUCAGAUGGAACGAGUGGAGCUGGUUCAAGCAAAGGAAAGGAGAUAGAUGGGCGUGAAGGAGGUGAUGGGAAGUCUCUUGUAGCCUACACUGGAGCCCCAAGCAACCGUGGGAACUAUGAUCGAGAGUAUCUAAGGAGAUCCGACCUGGAUGCUCUCAUCAAGCUCUUUAAAGAGCAUGGUAACACAUUUGCUUAUUCCUUUGGUGCUAGGGCUAUAGAGAAUGAUGAGAAUCUAACUAGAACUGAUAGGAUGCAUGAAAGUGUGAUUGAGAUAUUAAACCAAUCUAGAACGGCUAGUUUUGCUAGGAAUGAUCAUGUAUUCAAACCGUCUAGUAUCCUUGCUCAUAUUGCUAGUUCACAUACCAUUAAGCCUUUAGUAGUUGAUUCUGGUGCAUCUCAUCAUAUGAUAAGUGACACUAGUUUAAUUAAAGACAUUGUACCAAUGAAUGGUAAUGUGAUGAUAGCUAAUGGAGAUAAGAUACCUAUUAGAGGAAUAGGAAGUCUUAAACUGUUUGGUAAGGAGACUAAAGCCUUUUAUAUGCCUGAAUUUACUUCAAACUUGUUAUCUGUUAAGAAAUGUGCUACUGAUUUGCAAUGCAAUGUCAUAUUCAGUCCUAAUGAUGUGAAGUUUCAGGAUAUUAAAAGCAGCAAGAUGAUUGGAAAGGGAGUGACUAAAGGAGAAUUGUAUUUACUCAAAGAUCUUGCUCCUGUUUCUAGUUAUAGCUGCUCGUUUACUUCUGUUUCUGGUUCUAGUUUAAGUAAAAAUGCAUUGUGGCAUGCUAGAUUAGGACACCCUCAUAAUAAGGCUUUAAAACUGAUGUUGCCAGGUGUUUCCUUUGAGAAUAAUGAGUGUGAAGCUUGCAUCUUAGGCAAGCAUUGUAGAACUGUCUUUACCAAGUCUACUACUGUUUAUGAAAAAUGUUUUGAUCUUAUUCAUUCUGAUGUUUGGACUGCACCUUGCCUUUCUAGAGACAAUCAUAAGUACUAUGUAACUUUCAUUGAUGAAAAAUCCAAAUACACCUGGUUAACUUUAAUUCCAACCAAAGAUAGGGUACUUGAUGCAUUUAAAAACUUUCAAGCCUAUGUGAUUAACCAUUACAAUGCCAAGAUAAAAAUUUUUAGGUCAGAUAAUGGAGGAGAGUACACGGGACAAGCAUUCAAGCUACAUCUAUCUCAACAUGGAAUACUUCAUCAGACAAGCUGUCCCUAUACACCACAACAGAAUGGUGUGGCUGAAAGGAAGAACAGGCACUUGAUGGAAGUAGCCAGGUCCAUGAUGUUUCAAUCCAAUGUGCCUAAGAAGUUUUGGAGUGAUGCAGUUGCUACGGCUUGUUAUCUCAUCAACAGGACACCAACUCUGAUCCUUCAAGGACAAUCACCAUUUGAGGUAUUGAAUCAGUACAAACCUUCACUCGAGCAUAUGAAGAUCUUUGUAUGUUUGUGUUUUGUGAUGGUGCCUGGAGAGAUAAGAAACAAGCUAGAAGCUAAUAGUUCAAAGGCAAUGUUCAUUGGAUACUCAUCAAGUCAGAAAGGAUACAAGUGCUAUGAUCCUAACACAAGGAGAGUGUUAGUAUCUAGAGAAGUAAAGUUUGUUGAAGAAAAAGGAUAUUAUGAGGAGCAGAUUCAAGAAGAUUUGAAGGAUCUUACAUCUGAUAGAGCUGAAACCUUGAGGUUGAUCCUAGAAGGGCUUGGAAUCAACAUGAAUCAAGGACAUCAGGGGGGGAGAAGCUGUUAACUUGAAGAGAAGAAAUGGAGAAACUAAAGGUGUUGAGUUGAGUUGGGGCUUGUGCAAAAGAUAGGGCAAGGUGUCCAGAAGUGUCAUGAUGGAUGUGCAAUGUUAGGGCCAAGUCUAGGAGAGACUUAGAAGUGUAUUUGGGAGCAAAUGGACGAGUGUGCAAAGAUAGGGAGAGGCAGUACGGACAUGUACGGACAGUACGGAUCUGUACAGACCAGGGCGACCCAGAUUUGCAUAACUCGGCCAUUUGAGAAGUUUAGGAAUUGGUGCAAAAAUAGGGUGAACCUGACGUCCCGGGAAAGCUUGUGCAAUGUCUGGGCAAGGUUUGAGAGUUAUAAAAGUGGUCCCAGUCUUGUGGAUAAGGUUCUGAUCAGAUGGCAUCAAAGGAGAAUCAAAAAGAUGCCAUUGGAGUGUGAUUGGCUAGUUUGGUCAUGGGACAGGCUGGCCUUGGCUGUAAAGACAAGGGGAGCCACGACCAUGAACCUGGACUGAUCUGUGGACAGAUUAUGAGGAGCCUAAGGAGAGCCAAUCACAGCCCAGCCUUCCCCAUUUUGAAUUAAACCAAUCAGGCUCCAUCUCCUCUUAACCAAUCAGCAUCAACUACUCAGAUUGCAACAAGACCAGCUCAUCUACACCAUCCAUUCCUCUUAAGUUAUUAUCAGCCAUUAGAUAUAGGUUUCUGAUUGUGUAAACCUGUGUAAGCUUAUAAAUAAGCAUGAUGGACGAAAUUGUAUCUCUCUAAGAGAGAGAGGGGGAUUUCCCCUCCUCCUUCAUCAAUGAAAGGGUUUUGAAAACCAGAAACACAAAUUUAUUCUCUAGUCUUAAUCUCUCAGUCUCUCAGUCUCUUAAUCUCUGUUUCUAAGUCUCUUAUACACUCAAAAACACUCUUAUCAAUCUCUGUUCUUAAAUCACCAUUAAAAGGCUCAAUUGGAGCUUAUGCACAUUCACACACACAACCAGAGUAGUACUCUAUAAAAACUCAUCAAUCUCUGUUCUUAAAUCACCAUUAAAAGGCUCAAUUGGAGCUUAUACACAUUCACACACACAACCAGAGUAGUACUCUAUAAAAACUCACAUGGUAUCAGAGCCAGGUUCAUCAGAACCUGGUUGAAGCUUCCGCACAUCUCACACUCAUACCUCAGCUCAAAUCAAGCCAUGAAGACAGCUCCAUCCAGUUCAGUUUCUCCAUGAAGAAGAAGACUGAAGCUUGGCGCUUGUUCCUGGUUCCUCAACCUUUCUCAUACCUGUCCUGAUGAAGAGCCACGUUGGAAGCAAAGGUAGAUGGAGAGGCCUAGCUAACCUGACUCCAAAACGCCUUGUCAAGUGUUUGUUGCAUCUGGUUACAAGAAAGAAGAUGUCUAGAAGAUGGUGACUGUAUGUAUGGAGAAAGGAGGGGUCUUUGAGCUGGAGAAACAAGAAAAUGGUCAUGAGUAGAAGGAAGAGAGGUUGGGUGACGACCUGUAACUCUCAGAUCCAACAAGCCAUGACCUUAAUACCAUUGGAGGUUCAAGGAACCAAACAGGUUCCUUGACUGUAAGCUAUUACUAUCCCUUCUUGAUAAUGAGCUUGUGUUAUUGACUGGUUGUGAUGUUGUGAUGUGAUUGAAAACCUGAGGAUUGUUUAAAGAUUGCUAAAUGAAAAUGAUUUAGAAUCUGUCCCAGGAUGCUUAAAGAGACUUGUUUGGUGAUUGAGAUUGAAUUAAUAUGCUUAGCUCCAGUUCAUAGUGAUGCUUGUUGUGAUUAAUUGAAUCUGCUUGUAUACAUGUAAUGAAUCUGAUUGAAAGCUGUUGCAUAUAGUCUUGUGGCUGUCUUACAUUGAAGCAUUAGAUUUAUGUCUAAAUUGCUGAGUAAAGAAGCUUAAAAAAUUGCCUAAGUAGCUUGUAUUGAAUCUGUUAGGAUCAUGCUAGUGCUUAGAGAGUUUGCUUGCAAAGAUUAGAACUUGAAAAUGUCUAGUUUAAUCUGUUGCAUUGCUUAAAGACAUUGGUGUUCAAACUUGAUGAUGCAUCAAGGGUUGACCCAAUGCACUUGUGUCUUAUCUUUGCUGGAGUUUGAGUGAUGUUUCAGGUUCACAAGAGGUGUUCUUGGUUCACCAUCCAUCCGAGUUGAAAGAGGAAGACUUUGCCCAUUGUGUGGAGCAAUGGAGAGUUGAGAAAGAAGUGGUGAUGCGCCACUGGUGUGAAGUCUCACUGAAGCUCACUUGCAAGCUUGGACCUAUACUCAAUCCAAGCUUGAGGAGGGGAGUUUAGUGAGCUAUCAGUCGGACCAAGAAGGUUCAGAAGGUCCAUUGCAAGCAACUGAAGAUGAAGGAGCCAUCCGGGUCUAGGCAGUGGCGUGUAAGAGUUUUAAGUAAUGUAAAAGAUAAUCUGAGUUUAGAUGAGAAUAAGGAAGAGAUUUGUGUAGUUUAAGAGAUUAAGAGACUAAUGGAGAAUCAUUAUGAAAAGUCUAGAGAGAUUAAUUGUUUAGAACUGUCUGAUUCUUAUUAAUGAUGAGCUCACAAUAUAUAUAGGUCCAUACACAUUAGGGUUUUCGAAAUCAUAAGGAUAAGCAAGCAUGUAGAGUCAAAGAGGAGCUGGUGCUUUAGUUUGAACCGGCCAAUGAUAGUCUCCACACGUUUGAAGCAUCUUCUUGAUCCAAGACUAGAUGUUCUUCCUUUCCAGCUCUUGCCAGCCUGUCCUAGCUGUCAAGCCGCGCCUCCCUUAUCCUCUCCAACGUUCGGAUAAGGUCUUGGUCAAGUGUAACUUCAAGUAAGUCCAUGUAAGUUACCCGGAGAGUUACUUGGCCGCUUUUACCUUUGUACGGCCAAUGGUACGGCCUAUCCGUCCGUACCAUCUCUAUCAACCCAUUUCUUCUCUUAACUCCUUUGCCCUCUUUAUGUCCUCAACUCCUUUGUGUCUUUACCUCUUAUCUCAUAUGUCUCAACUCAUCUCAACAGCGUGUCUAGGCAAGAGAGUGUUCAGAGCACUCUUGGCUGUGAGAAGAUGAAGACUUUAUCAGUGCGGCUUCUAGUGUGAGGUGGCUGAAGAGGUAGCUGAAGCUUCCACAAGCACUCCAUGAAGAUGGCGAGUUCAGAAGGUGUUGCAAUGGAGUAAUGGUGCAGAUCAUGAAGCUAUCCAUCCAAGCUUGUUCCUGUGAGAUUCUCAAGCUUGAGGGGGAGUGUUGAAGCUUACAUGAUCUGAGAGUACUUGGUGGUUAUUCAAGAAGAGGAGCAGAUCAGUUAUGAAGCAUAAUGAAGGAUGAAGAAGCAAUCACCAAUGCGGCCUCUAGAGUGAGGUGAUUGGUACUACAGUCUGAAGCAUCCUGUCAUGAAGGUUUCAGUAACAUGUGUUGAAGCUUACAUGAUCUGAGAGUACUUGGUGGUUAUUCAAGAAGAGGAGCAGAUCAGUUAUGAAGCAUAAUGAAGGAUGAAGAAGCAAUCACCAAUGCGGCCUCUAGAGUGAGGUGAUUGGUACUACAGUCUGAAGCAUCCAGUCAUGAAGGUUUCAGUAACAUGGUGGUGACUCAUGAAGAAGAAGCAGCCAAGACUCAGCUUGUAUCUAUCAAAGAAGAUCUGGUAGUCCGAGCACUUGAUCACAACAAGAAGGUUGUGAGAAAGAGGGAGAGACCAAGAUCUGUUUAAAGAAGAGUACAAGAAGUGUUGAUGAUGAGCAAGAGGAGUGGGUUCUAUCUUGCAUCACAUGAGGGCCAUGAUCCAGAGUCUUUGUGUCCCUUACAUUGUUGGUAAGGCACAAAAACUCACUGGCCAAUCCCUAGGCCUUGGAGACUUUACUCUUUUUCCCUCAUCAAGGUUUUGUCCCAAAGGGUUUUCCUUGGUGAGGUUUUUAAUGAGGAAGUUCUUCAAGGUUCCAAGCUUGACUUAGGAUCAACUAAAGUCAAGCUUGAGGGGGAGUGUUAACUUGAAGAGAAGAAAUGGAGAAACUAAAGGUGUUGAGUUGAGUUGGGGCUUGUGCAAAAGAUAGGGCAAGGUGUCCAGAAGUGUCAUGAUGGAUGUGCAAUGUUAGGGCCAAGUCUAGGAGAGACUUAGAAGUGUAUUUGGGAGCAAAUGGACGAGUGUGCAAAGAUAGGGAGAGACAGUACGGACAUGUACGGACAGUAUGGACAUGUACGGACAGUACGGAUCUGUACAGACCAGGGCGACCCAGAUUUGCAUAACUCGGCCAUUUGAGAAGUUUUGGAGUUGGUGCAAAAAUAGGGCGAACCUGACGUCCCGGGAAAGCUUGUGCAAUGUCUGGGCAAGGUUUGAGAGUUAUAAAAGUGGUCCCAGUCUUGUGGAUAAGGUUCUGAUCAGAUGGCAUCAAAGGAGAAUCAAGAAGAUGCCAUUGGAGUGUGAUUGGCUAGUUUGGUCAUGGGACAGGCUGGCCUUGGCUGUAAAGACAAGGGGAGCCAAGACCAUGAACCUGGACUGAUCUGUGGACAGAUUAGGAGGAGCCUAAGGAGAGCCAAUCACAGCCCAGCCUUCCCCAUUUUGAAUUAAACCAAUCAGGCUCCAUCUCCUCUUAACCAAUCAGCAUCAACUACUCAGAUUGCAACAAGACCAGCUCAUCUACACCAUCCAUUCCUCUUAAGUUAUUAUCAGCCAUUAGAUAUAGGUUUCUGAUUGUGUAAACCUGUGUAAGCUUAUAAAUAAGCAUGAUGGACGAAAUUGUAUCUCUCUAAGAGAGAGAGGGGGAUUUCCCCUCCUCCUUCAUCAAUGAAAGGGUUUUGAAAACCAGAAACACAAAUUUAUUCUCUAGUCUUAAUCUCUCAGUCUCUCAGUCUCUUAAUCUCUGUUUCUAAGUCUCUUAUACACUCAAAAACACUCUUAUCAAUCUCUGUUCUUAAAUCACCAUUAAAAGGCUCAAUUGGAGCUUAUACACAUUCACACACACAACCAGAGUAGUACUCUAUAAAAACUCACAUGGUAUCAGAGCCAGGUUCAUCAGAACCUGGUUGAAGCUUCCGCACAUCUCACACUCAUACCUCAGCUCAAAUCAAGCCAUGAAGACAGCUCCAUCCAGUUCAGUUUCUCCAUGAAGAAGAAGACUGAAGCUUGGCGCUUGUUCCUGGUUCCUCAACCUUUCUCAUACCUGUCCUGAUGAAGAGCCACGUUGGAAGCAAAGGUAGAUGGAGAGGCCUAGCUAACCUGACUCCAAAACGCCUUGUCAAGUGUUUGUUGCAUCUGGUUACAAGAAAGAAGAUGUCUAGAAGAUGGUGACUGUAUGUAUGGAGAAAGGAGGGGUCUUUGAGCUGGAGAAACAAGAAAAUGGUCAUGAGUAGAAGGAAGAGAGGUUGGGUGACGACCUGUAACUCUCAGAUCCAACAAGCCAUGACCUUAAUACCAUUGGAGGUUCAAGGAACCAAACAGGUUCCUUGACUGUAAGCUAUUACUAUCCCUUCUUGAUAAUGAGCUUGUGUUAUUGACUGGUUGUGAUGUUGUGAUGUGAUUGAAAACCUGAGGAUUGUUUAAAGAUUGCUAAAUGAAAAUGAUUUAGAAUCUGUCCCAGGAUGCUUAAAGAGACUUGUUUGGUGAUUGAGAUUGAAUUAAUAUGCUUAGCUCCAGUUCAUAGUGAUGCUUGUUGUGAUUAAUUGAAUCUGCUUGUAUACAUGUAAUGAAUCUGAUUGAAAGCUGUUGCAUAUAGUCUUGUGGCUGUCUUACAUUGAAGCAUUAGAUUUAUGUCUAAAUUGCUGAGUAAAGAAGCUUAAAAAAUUGCCUAAGUAGCUUGUAUUGAAUCUGUUAGGAUCAUGCUAGUGCUUAGAGAGUUUGCUUGCAAAGAUUAGAACUUGAAAAUGUCUAGUUUAAUCUGUUGCAUUGCUUAAAGACAUUGGUGUUCAAACUUGAUGAUGCAUCAAGGGUUGACCCAAUGCACUUGUGUCUUAUCUUUGCUGGAGUUUGAGUGAUGUUUCAGGUUCACAAGAGGUGUUCUUGGUUCACCAUCCAUCCGAGUUGAAAGAGGAAGACUUUGCCCAUUGUGUGGAGCAAUGGAGAGUUGAGAGAGAAGUGGUGAUGCGCCACUGGUGUGAAGUGUCACUGAAGCUCACUUGCAAGCUUGGACCUAUACUCAAUCCAAGCUUGAGGAGGGGAGUUUAGUGAGCUUCCAAGCGAUCCAAGAAGUCCAUUGCAAGCAUCUGAAGAAGGAGCCAUUCGGGCUUAGGCUGUGGCGAGUCUAUUCAAGAGAGUACUCAAACUAAGACAGAGUACUCUUGGCUGUGAGAAGAUGAAGGCAACUCUAUCAAGGCGGCUUCUAGUGUGAAGUGAUUGGAGAGAUAGCUGAAGCUUCCACAAGCAUUCCAUGAAGAUGGCAAGAUCAGAAGAGGAGCGGCAAUGGUGUGUGUGUGAGGAUCAUGAAGCAAUCCAUUCAAGCUUGUUCCUGUGAGAGUCUCAAGCUUGAGGGGGAGUGUUGAAGCUUACAUGAUCCAAGAGAGCUUGGUGGUUAUUCUAGAAGAGGAAGCAACCUGUUGAGAAGUAUGAUGAAGGAUGAAGAAGCAAUGUCCAAGGCGGCCUCAAGUGUUGAGGUGAUUGGAGAGUGGCUGAAGCAUCCUCAUGUAGCUCAAGCAACAAGGUGGCGACUCUAGAAGAAGAAGAAGCAGCCAAGACUCAGUAAGAGAAGUUGUAUCUCCAAGAAGAGGCUGAUCUGGUGUGUCUGAGCACUUCAACCUAACAAGAGGUUAGGUGAAAGGGGGAGAGACCAAGAUUAGGCAGUAAGGAGAGUACAAGGCGUGGGAUGAUUGUAGAGGCCAUGAUCCAGAGUCUUUGUGUCCCUUACAUUGUUGGUAAGGCACAAAGACUCACUGGCCAAUCCCUAGGCCUUGGAGACUUUACUCUUUUUCCCUCAUCAAGGUUUUGUCCCAAAGGGUUUUCCUUGGUGAGGUUUUUAAUGAGGAAGUUCUUCAAGGUUCCAAGCUUGACUUAGGAUCAGCUAGAGUCAAGCUUGAGGGGGAGUGUUAACUUGAAGAGAAGAAGUGGAGAAGCAAAAGUGAUGAGUUGAGUUGGUGCUUGUGCAAAGACAUGGCAAGAUCUUCAGAGAUUGUAUGUUAAGGCUUUGGGAGAGUCUUAAGGCUUCAGAAGUGGUCUGAUGAGUGUGCAAAGAUAGGGUUAAGUCCAGGAGGGACUUAGACACCAUUUAGAGAAGAUUUGGGUCAGACAGUAACUCCAAAGUUACCACAGUAACUUUGGAGAGUUACCACAGUAAGAUUGGAGAAGUUUGGGCAAGUUGGUGUAAAAGUGAAUAGUGAAUCACUAGUCACUAUUCAGGUUGACUAUUCACUAUUUGGAUCACUAUUCAGGAUGUGAGGCACCAAGGUUUGAAUCUAGUCAAAGGGAAUCAAGAAGAUGCUGUGUGGAGCUGAUUGGUUACUUUGGGGCAUGGACAGGCUGGCUGUUGCUGUAAAGGAAGAGCAGCCACGACCAUGCACCUAGACUGAUCUGUAGACAGAUACAAAGGAGCCUAAGGAGAGCCAAUCACAGCACAGCCUUGUUUGAAUUAAAGUGAGCCAGCUUAGCUCAUCCAAUCAGCACACAUCACUCAGAUCACAACAAGACCAACUCAUCCUCACCAUCCAUUCCUCUUAAGUUAUUUCUAUCCAUUAGAUAUAGGUUUAUGAGUUUGCAAGAGUGUAAAACCUAUAUAAAGACCCUCAUGGGCGUGUGUAACUCUCUUAAGAGAGUAUGGGGGUUUUCCCCAUCUCCUUCAUAAAUAUAAAAGUGUG